rnacentral:lncRNA from 1 species
GCCGCCCUCCUGUGCCUCAGCUGCUGGGCGGGGGACCGGGGGGUUCUCCCCGCCAGGGCUCCCCUUCCCCUCUUCCGUUGACCCCGAAACCCAUCAGGUUGACCCCUCGGCGUUUCUGAAUCCCGCUGGGCCGAGUGAGGCGGUCCAAAGUGAUCCCUGGAGGGGGCAGUGCCAGACGUUUUGGGGUCCCCUUCCUCAGCGUCGCAGCUCACAGCUUUCCUCCUGGAGAAACGCCCCCUAACACCCUGCCGGCUGCUGGCGGAGGGGCGGGACCUCUGAGGGAAGGGGCGGAGCUAGCGCAAAGCAGGAGAUCUACUUUGUGUUUAAAUCACAGCUCUGUCGUUAACCAGCUAUAGGAUUUGGAGGAAGGAACUGUGACUUGAUUCUAACCCAUAGAAUACGGCAAAGGCAACGUCAUGUCGCUCUCCUGGAUUACACUGCAUUAGAUAAGACUCUAUCAUAGCAGUCUGGAGCUGAAGACUCUCUUUGUGGGCUGGAUGAAGCCAGCAGCCGCGUUGGAGGAGCCCAGGUGACAAGGUGACCUCUAGAACUGGGAACCCACCUCCUAACAACAGCAAGAAGCUGGGACCCUCAGUAAUAUAACCCCAAGGAAAUGAUUUCUACCAACUUGAAUGACCUGGGUAGCAGAUUCUUCCCCAGCUGAGCCUCCAAAUGAGAAUGUGUCCCAGCCAACAGCUUGAUUAUAGGAGUGUGAGAGCCGAGCAGAGGACCCAGCCAAGCUGUGCCUGAACUCCUGCCCAACAGAAACUGUGAGAUAAUAAAUAUGUGUUGUUUUAAG